ensembl:lncRNA
GAGUCUACAUAUACUCUAUAUUUAGGCCUGCUCUUACAUACACAGGCAACCUUGCUAACAUUCUGUCUGAUUAUGAAUUAAGUUUAAAGUUGAGGAUGGCUCUGGCAACACAUGUGAAGAAACCACACUGAUCGUCAUGCUGCAAGAUGCCAAGAUUAAUAUGUUGUGUUCAGACAAUGACGACUCAUGCACCUCUAGCAUUAUGGACACAAAAUUUACAAAUGGAAUGGCAAUGCUGCAAAUGAGGGGAUUUAACCAAGACAAAUCUACUCAACUUGCUGCCCUGCAAUUUAGCAAUAAACUCUUCCUAAAAUGUGAAGGGGAAGCAACAGAUGGAGUGAUUUUGAAAGCUGAGGCAAAUCCAACGCUGCUGGGCAUCCAAACGGGAAAGUCCACGGACAUCAAAGCAGUCGAGGCAAACAAACCCUAUUUGUUUCACGCUAUCCGUAAGAAUCCCGAUACAUGGCACUUUCAGUCGGCUUCACACAGUGGCUAUUACAUUUGUGCAGAUGGGGAAAAAAUAGUAAUAGCCAGACAUGAAAAUGACAACAAGUACUUCAAAAUAGUCUUCAAUAAGAAAUGCAAGGAAAUGCUCAUAACUCACAAAGACACCAUGUUGCACUUUGUGUGACAGUCAUACUACGCACUGCUAUGCGAUAGGUGUACCUUCUUUUACUGUUUGGCUGUGUUUGGUUUGCAUCAGUUUUUUACAUUUAUUUUGUAAAGUUUGUAUUUUAUAUCUUGUAUUAAUCUUGUCUUGUCUUAUUGCCUGCUCUCUUUGCAACAAAAAAAAAAGCUCAUGUAUUUUAUUUUCCAUCAUUUCCUGGUGUUAUCAUGAAUACACAAAUCCAGCUAAAAAUAUUUUUAGACGUGAGGAAACAGAAAGUCACGGAUUACUGCUUGAAAGUUCGUAAACACUCUGAGCAACUUUAAGUAGAAAACAUAAAUGGAGAAAUAGCUUCAUUUACAUUAUGUUUAUAAGAUUUUCUAGAGGUACCAGUAAUUGAUUACAUGUAAAUCAUGUGAUUUUGGUCAAAAAUAAUAACUACUUGACGAGGGACUUUUUUUAAAGGUAGUUUCUCUUUUUUUGUGUGAGAUUAAGCUAAUUCACCAAAGAUGACCCUUUAUCACCUUUACUCAUCUUCAUCAGGGGUGUAAAUAAUUGUGGAAGGAACAGUUGUUGUUGUGUGAGGUAACUGUAUUAUGUUGCUAUAGCUUAAAAAAUGUAUUUGGUAAGUUCAACAGUAUUUCUUUAGUAAGGACAAAUACAAAAAGAUCAAUGCAAACUGUUUCCUUGAUUUUCCAAGUAUUAAUAACACAAUUCAUUGUACACAAAGUUAUUUGUACUUUUCAAGACAACACUUGAUCAGUAUGAAUCAAAAAUCAGUAUGAUGAACCAAUAGUAGGGUCAGAAACCUCAGUUCCGUGACUGUCACAGCCUCUGCUGCACGCUCCUCUGUUCCUGUUUCUGCUCUUGCUCCAGUCCGUUCACCCUCUCCUGUGUUUAGUAUUUCCCUCACACCUUAGUUUUCCCUCCAUGUUUGGUUCUCACCUGUAGCCAAUGUGUUAAUUGAAUUUAGUUCUCACCUGUAGCCAAUGUGUUAAUUUAAUUUAGUUCUCACCUGUAGCCUUUGUAUUAAUUAAGUUUAGUUCUCACCUGUAACCAAUGUAUUCACUGAGCUCUUAUGUAAGCCUUGGACUUUUCCUUUGUCUUUGUGUGUAAUUGUUUGUGAUCAGCAAGAUGUACUGUUCUCCAGUCCUGUGAACUCUGCCUUGUUUGCCCAUUGUGGCACUUUGAUUUAUCUCAGUAAAACACGCCUUGAGCGUUUG